CUGUGAGAGGAAUGAUGUAUUAUUAUAGAGCUCUCAAGAUGCUUGCCUUUCUUGAUACUGCAUCAGAGAUGGACAUAAAGG